rnacentral:rRNA from 1 species
CCUACGGGGGGCUGCAGUGGGGAAUAUUGGACAAUGGGGGGAACCCUGAUCCAGCCAUGCCGCGUGUGUGAAGAAGGCCCUCGGGUUGUAAAGCACUUUCAGUGAGGAAGAACGCCUGGUGGUUAAUACCCAUCAGGAAAGACAUCACUCACAGAAGAAGCACCGGCUAACUCCGUGCCAGCAGCCGCGGUAAUACGGAGGGUGCGAGCGUUAAUCGGAAUUACUGGGCGUAAAGCGCGCGUAGGUGGCUUGAUAAGCCGGUUGUGAAAGCCCCGGGCUCAACCUGGGAACGGCAUCCGGAACUGUCAAGCUAGAGUGCAGGAGAGGAAGGUAGAAUUCCCGGUGUAGCGGUGAAAUGCGUAGAGCUCGGGAGGAAUACCAGUGGCGAAGGCGGACUUCUGGACUGACACUGACACUGAGGUGCGAAAGCGUGGGUAGCAAACAGGAUUAGAUACCCCUGUAGUC